GACGAACGCUGGCGGCGUGCUUAACACAUGCAAGUCGAACGGAAAGGCCCUGCUUUUGUGGGGUGCUCGAGUGGCGAACGGGUGAGUAACACGUGAGUAACCUGCCCUUGACUUUGGGAUAACUUCAGGAAACUGGGGCUAAUACCGGAUAGGAGCUCCUGCUGCAUGGUGGGGGUUGGAAAGUUUCGGCGGUUGGGGAUGGACUCGCGGCUUAUGAGCUUGUUGGUGGGGUAGUGGCUGACCAAGGCUUUGACGGGUAGCCGGCCUGAGAGGGUGACCGGCCACAUUGGGACUGAGAUACGGCCCAGACUCCUACGGGAGGCAGCAGUGGGGAAUAUUGCACAAUGGGCGGAAGCCGGAUGCAGGAACGACGCGGGCGGGAUGACGGCCUUCGGGGUGUAAACCGCUUUCGCCUGUGACGAAGCGUGAGUGACGGUAAUGGGUAAAGAAGCACCGGCUAACUACGUG
rnacentral:rRNA from 1 species